rnacentral:rRNA from 1 species
CUAAGUAUAAGCAAUUAUACAGCGAAACUGCGAAUGGCUCAUUAAAUCAGUUAUCGUUUAUUUGAUAGUACCUUACUACUUGGAUAACCGUGGUAAUUCUAGAGCUAAUACAUGCUAAAAACCCCGACUCACGAAGGGGUGUAUUUAUUAGAUUAAAAACCAAUGCCCUUCGGGGCUCUUUGGUGAUUCAUAAUAACUUUUCGAAUCGCAUGGCCUUGCGCCGGCGAUGGUUCAUUCAAAUUUCUGCCCUAUCAACUUUCGAUGGCAGGGUCUUGGCCUGCCAUGGUUACAACGGGUAACGGAGGGUUAGGGCUCGACCCCGGAGAAGGAGCCUGAGAAACGGCUACUACAUCCAAGGAAGGCAGCAGGCGCGCAAAUUACCCAAUCCCGAUUCGGGGAGGUAGUGACAAUAAAUACUGAUACAGGGCUCUUUUGGGUCUUGUAAUUGGAAUGAGUACAAUUUAAAUCCCUUAACGAGGAACAAUUGGAGGGCAAGUCUGGUGCCAGCAGCCGCGGUAAUUCCAGCUCCAAUAGCGUAUAUUAAAGUUGUUGCAGUUAAAAAGCUCGUAGUUGAACCUUGGGCCUGGCUGGCCGGUCCGCCUCACCGCGUGCACUGGUUCGGCCGGGCCUUUCCCUCUGGGGAACCUCAUGGUCUUCACUGAUCGUGAUGGGGAACCAGGACUUUUACUGUGAAAAAAUUAGAGUGUUCAAAGCAGGCCUAUGCUCGAAUACAUUAGCAUGGAAUAAUAAAAUAGGACGUGUGGUUCUAUUUUGUUGGUUUCUAGGACCGCCGUAAUGAUUAAUAGGGACAGUCGGGGGCAUCAGUAUUCAAUUGUCAGAGGUGAAAUUCUUGGAUUUAUUGAAGACUAACUACUGCGAAAGCAUUUGCCAAGGAUGUUUUCAUUAAUCAGGAACGAAAGUUAGGGGAUCGAAGACGAUCAGAUACCGUCGUAGUCUUAACCAUAAACUAUGCCGACUAGGGAUCGGACGGUGUUACUUAUUGACCCGUUCGGCACCUUACGAGAAAUCAAAGUCUUUGGUUCU